CAUAUCAAUAAGCGGAGGAAAAGAAACUAACAAGGAUUCCCCUAGUAACUGCGAGUGAAGCGGGAAAAGCUCAAAUUUAAAAUCUGUCAGCCUUUGGCUGUCCGAGUUGUAAUCUAGAGAAGCGUUAUCCGCGCUGGACCGUGUACAAGUCUCCUGGAAUGGAGCGUCAUAGAGGGUGAGAAUCCCGUCUUUGACACGGACUGCCAGGGCUUUGUGAUGCGCUCUCAAAGAGUCGAGUUGUUUGGGAAUGCAGCUCAAAAUGGGUGGUAAAUUCCAUCUAAAGCUAAAUAUUGGCGAGAGACCGAUAGCGAACAAGUACCGUGAGGGAAAGAUGAAAAGAACUUUGGAAAGAGAGUUAAACAGUACGUGAAAUUGCUGAAAGGGAAACGCUUGAAGUCAGUCGCGUUAGCCAGGGAUCAACCUUGCUUUUGCUUGGUGUACUUUCUGGUUGACGGGUCAGCAUCAAUUUUGACUAUUGGAAAAAGAUCAGGGGAAUGUGGCAUCUUCGGAUGUGUUAUAGCCCUUGGUUGCAUACAAUGGUUGGGAUUGAGGAACUCAGCACGCCGCAAGGCCGGGUUUUAACCACGUACGUGCUUAGGAUGCUGGCAUAAUGGCUUUAAUCGACCCGUCUUGAAACACGGACCAAGGAGUCUAACAUGCCUGCGAGUGUUUGGGUGGAAAACCCGAGCGCGUAAUGAAAGUGAAAGUUGAGAUCCCUGUCGUGGGGAGCAUCGACGCCCGGACCAGACCUUUUGUGACGGUUCCGCGGUAGAGCAUGUAUGUUGGGACCCGAAAGAUGGUGAACUAUGCCUGAAUAGGGUGAAGCCAGAGGAAACUCUGGUGGAGGCUCGUAGCGAUUCUGACGUGCAAAUCGAUCGUCAAAUUUGGGUAUAGGGGCGAAAGACUAAUCGAACCAUCUAGUAGCUGGUUCCUGCC
rnacentral:rRNA from 1 species